AUUGAACGCUGGCGGAAUGCUUUACACAUGCAAGUCGAACGGCAGCACGGGGGCAACCCUGGUGGCGAGUGGCGAACGGGUGAGUAAUACAUCGGAACGUGCCCGGUCGUGGGGGAUAACGUAGCGAAAGGUACGCUAAUACCGCAUACGAUCUGAGGAUGAAAGCGGGGGACCUUUGGGCCUCGCGCGAUCGGAGCGGCCGGUGUCAGAUUAGCUAGUUGGUUGGGUAAAGGCCUACCAAGCCGACGAUCUGUAGCUGGUCUGAGAGGACGACCAGCCACACUGGGACUGAGACGCGGCCCAGACUCCUACGGGAGGCAGCAGUGGGGAAUUUUGGACAAUGGGCGCAAGCCUGAUCCAGCCAUUCCGCGUGCAGGACGAAGGCCUUCGGGUUGUAAACUGCUUUUGUAUGGAACGAAAAGGCUCUGGCUAAUACCUGGGGGUCAUGACGGUACCGUAAGAAUAAGCACCGGCUAACUACGUG
rnacentral:rRNA from 1 species